GCGAGUGAAGCGGGAAGAGCUCAGGUUGAGAAUCCUCUGGACUUGUAACCUGAAGGUAAGCUCCUGUGACCGCGCCCGUGGAAGAGUGCUUCGAAUGCACCGCCGGAGAGGGUGAGAGCCCCGUCCCGCAGGCCGCGCUAGGUCACAGAUGGAGUGAUCCGAAGAGUCGGCAUGCUUGGGAAUGCAUGUCAAAUUGGGUGGUAAAUCCCAUCUGAAGCUAAAUACGGACAGGAGACCGAUAGCGAACAAGUACUGUGAAGGAAAGAUGAAAAGUUGUUUGAAAAGGCGGUCAAAAGUACCUGAAAUUGCUGAGGGGGAAGUGCAUGGCCCCAGUGUGGCUCUGCCGGUCAGCUCGGCUUGGAGGAGGCGGAAAGCCUAGGUGGGUGGGACGAUGGCUCCGGCCUCAGAACCCCCGUCGGCGCGCUUCGUCCGAGCCCGGUUGACGAAAUGGGUCCAUGCAGCCCGUCUUGAAACACGGACCAAGGAGUCUAACAUGUGUGCGAGUACUCGGGUGUCAAACCCCAGUGCGCAAUGAAAGUGACAUGGUGCGCGCAGCACCGGCCGAUCAUGAGUCUUUGACGAACGAUUCGAGCAAGAGCACAAAUGUUGGGACCCGAAAGAUGGUGAACUAUGCCUGAGGAGGGCGAAGC
rnacentral:rRNA from 1 species